ACGGCUCAGUAACACGUGGCUAAUCUGCCCUUGGGAUAGGAACAACCCCGGGAAACUGGGGAUAAUUCCCAAUAGGCGAAGAACUCUGGAAUGAGUCUUCACCAGAAAAGACGUUUACGUUAUGCUCGUAAGCGUCGCCCAAGGAUGAGGCCGCGACCGAUCAGGUUGUUGGUGAGGUAAUGGCUCACCAAGCCUUUUACCGGUGCGGGCCGUGAGAGCGGGAGCCCGGAGAUGGGCACUGAGACAAGGGCCCAGGCCCUACGGGGCGCAGCAGUCGCGAAAACUUUGCAAUACACGAAAGUGUGACAGGGCUAUCCCGAGUGCCAUCCGCUGAGGAAGGCUUUUACCCAGUCUAGAACGCUGGGGGAAUAAGGAGAGGGCAAGUCUGGUGUCAGCCGCCGCGGUAAUACCAGCUCUUCGAGUGGUGUGGAUGUUUAUUGGGCCUAAAGCAUCCGUAGCUGGCUAAGUUAGUCCCCUGUUAAAUCCACCGAAUUAAUCGUUGGAUUGCGGGGGAUACUGCUUGGCUAGGGGACGAGAGAGGCAGACGGUAUUUCCGGGGUAGGGGUGAAAUCCUAUAAUCCUUGGGGGACCACCUGUGGCGAAGGCGUCUCACCAGAACGGCUCCGACAGUGAGGGACGAAAGCUGGGGGAGCAAACCGGAUUAGAUACCCGGGUAGUCCCAGCCGUAAACGAUGUGCGUUAGGUGUAUCGAUGACCACGAGUCAUCGAGGUGCCGAAGAGAAAUCGUGAAACGUACCGCCUGGGAAGUACGGUCGCAAGGCUGAAACUUAAGGGAAUUGGCGGGGGGAG
rnacentral:rRNA from 1 species